AAAAAAAGGAAUAGAAAUUGGAAGUCAUAUUCGAACGGGGGGUGGUGGGCGAAGAAGAGGUUCGAACACUAACAUAGAAGGGGAGAGAGUUAGACGGAGAGGGGGAGAGAGUGAAACAGAGACUGAGGGAGCGAUAGAGAGGAAGACAGAGUGAGGGAGAGAGAGGGAGACGGAGAGAAAGAAGGAGGAGGCUCACAGAUUGUAGGUCGACUUGAAGUGCAAGAAAUUGUUUGCUGGUGAAGAAGAAUUUCUUUGCUGUGCUGGGCUGUGCUCUAUUGGGGUGCCAAUUCAAAGUUGAAGGCCUAUAAUUUAAAUGGGGGUAGUGCUCUGAAAUGGUUGUCGAAAAAAUGAUGGAGGAAUUGAAAGUGGUGUCAAAUGCUUCACGGGGCUGAAAAGGAGCUGCAAAGGGGCUGAAUGAAGUAUUCAACUACAUUUUCUCAGUGUUAUGGUGCACUGCUAUUCGAUUAGCUCAAAAGAAAAGUAUUCUAUUCUUUAGCAUCACACAGUGGGUUUAGUAUGGAUGUUGAAGUUAUUGAUGUGGAAGGAAUGGGGCAUCGUGGAAUGGCAGAUGAUGGUGAUGCUGAAAGGAGUGAAGGUGGAGAAAUGAAUAAUGUUGAAAAUUCCGAGGCUCACGAUGAGGAUGGGAUUUCCGAGCCAUACGUGGGUAUGGAAUUUAAUUCA